AAGAAACCUACCUGCAAAGCUACAGUACUGUUAAAACAGGAAAUACUACAGAGCUGGUGGAUUUAUUUAUAUUAAGCCACGCUGACACAGGAAGAACAUGCAGAAAGGCCUCCUGUCGGGACUCUUGAACUCAGCUGCUUAAGCAUGAAUUAUGCUGUGAAGAGGUGAAGCCCAAAUGAUACAGACUCAGACAUGGAUGCAGCAGUGCCAGAACACCUGAAGCAUGGGACGUGCUGGGGCUUGUGGAUAUAAAAAAAUUGGCCAUAAACAACUUUCACAAACUCUAAAAACAUUU